GCUGCUGCCGUUUUAUUUUCCUCCGCUCCCUUCCUAAGAAUUCCGCCCUGGCUUAUGAGCUUAAGGCUCCACCGCCCCAUCUGAUCAACACAAAAAAGGCCAGAGAGCAGGAGGGGAGAGUUGAGCGUGUCUGGGGCACAGUGACCCAGAGUGGCUGGAGGAGAAGGCCGGCUGGGAAGGGUGGAUCCCACCGGGGGAGGACCUGCCACCACCCACAGGCUCUGGGUCAUCCCAGGCGUCUCCACUGGGGCAGGAGCUCCAGGACCCCCUCUCCUACUGUCCCUUCUCCUGAGGCUGCUGAUGCUGACGCUGCAGGUCAAUGUUGUCAGGGGCUUCCAACAAGAAAACGAUGCUCCUACUAACCACACAAAGGUGGGGACUGGAAUUCAGUUUCUCAGGCGACCAGGUGGUUUACAGUGGUUCCCUAGGUUUACCUGCAUGUUGUGAAUUGCUUAAAAGGAAAAAUCACGGAUAAAUCCUUGAUUUUUCGAUACCAGGAUCCGUGAUGUGAACGAUCUCGCACCCCCGUGCCCUGAGGAGGCGUUUAACACCAGUGCGAAGGAAAACCACGCUGCAGGUGUGCACGGCGGGGCCACGGGCUUCCUGUCCUCUCUGUUCUGUGAAGGUUUUCCUGCUUCCCUAUUGACGGGGCCCUUGGUCCUAGCUGUCUUUGGGGAGACAGUUCGCUGUUCAGAAAGGUUGCAGGCCCUGGGUUAGAGCAACAUGCCUUGAGGUCUGCAAGCCUCCUUUUUCGUCCUGGCAAUGAUAUGAUGUGCCAUUUUCAGUUGGAAGAGCUGAUACGUAAAUAUCAAUCUAAGAGAAAGUCAAAUGAACGAGGGAAGUAACAGAAGCAGGUGAUGGGAUCCUGAAUAUCUCUGUGGAUUUCUCAUCUGUAAAAUGCCAGCAAGACGACAUCUAAAGUUUCUGACCUAGGAUUCCGUGAGUUUUUCAAUCCAAACCACCCUUACUGAAAUGUGCAUCUAUUUUAUUUUAUUAUUUUUUAUGACCACACCUGUGGCAUAUGGAAGUUCCCAGGCUAGGGACUGAAUCUGAGCUGUAGCUGCAAAACCUGCACCGGCAGCUGUGGCAAUGCUGGACCCACAGCACCAGGCUGGGGAUUGAACCUAUGCCUCCACAGCCACCUGAGCCAUUAAGGUCAGACUCUUAACCCAAUGCCCUACAGCGGGACCUCCAGGAGCUCUGUGCAUCUAUUUUAACAACAGAAAAGCCUUAUUUAUUUUGCAAGACAGUUUGUAGGAAAUUUGGAAAAUUCCAAGAAACAAAAAGACUGAAAUAGAAAGCAUCUUUAAUACUACCAAUUAGAGAUAAAUCUCACUAAUGCUUUAGCUGAUACUCGAUAUUUUUCUUUGCAUUUUAUAUGCAUGUGUGUAUGUAUAUACACAUUAUGUUAUAUUUACAUAUGUAUGUAUUCACAGAUUUAUAUACAUAAUCACAAAUGCAUAUUUGUAUAUCUACAUUUUUGCCAUUAUCAUAGUAUAAAACAUAUAUAUGCAUAUAUUAUUUAUAAAUAUAUGGGUAUGCUUUUUUAUAUGUGCAUAUUUAUGAAUUUUCUCUUUAAAAAUGUAAUUUUACUGUUUAUAACCUAACGGUGUUUUCCCGCAGCAUCCUGUUGUGUCAUAUUUUAUUUUAUGGAUGAGCUUUAAGAUUUUUAACCAAUCUCCUUGUGCUGGACAUUGAUGUUUCAUCGCCACUUCUUGUUAUUCUUCUGCAACAUGCUUCAGUGAACAUAUCUGAGUUAAAUGUGUGCCCCAUUCAAGCAUGAUUUACUUAGCACAAAUGCAGACAGGUAGAAUUGUUCCCUCAAACUGCACACACAAUUUAAGUGUUGCAAUUCAUUCGUCUCCCAGCAACACAAAAGAAGGUGUGGUGUACUGUUCAUCUCUGAUUAUUAAAUGCUUGAACCUGCAAUAGCUUUCUUGGCCACUUCUAUUUCUUUUAUCCUUUGUUUGUUCUUUUCUUUGUCCAUUUCUGUUAGCGUGAUUGUCAUUUUCUCUCUGAUUUUAACCUCCUCUCUCAAGAAUGUCUCUCACUUUGCUGUCCACCUCAAACACUGUAAAUCAACUAGACUUCAAUUUUUUAAGAAUUGCAGAGUCCAAAAAAUAAAAUAAAGUGAGUCUGUUGUAGAAAAAACAAAAGUCCAUGUCUCUGCCUGCCAAUAUGUAUUUCAAAUACGUGUUCCUGGUUUAUCAUUUUCUUUUAAAUUUUGUUUAUGGUGUUUUUUUUUUUUGCUACACAUUUAAAAAAUCUGUCUAAUCUUUUUUUCCAACAUUUGCAAUCAUGAUUAGAAAGUUCCUCUAUUGAAAUAUCCCUCCUUAUUUUGUCUAGUAUGCCUAUAGCUUGACUUCACAUUGAAACACUUAAUCGGUUCUGGCGUAUGCCCCAAUGCCAUUUAGCCAAGAAUCACCCUCCUACUGGUUUGAUAGGCUGCCUUUGGCCAAUAAUAACAAAUAGAAAAAUUCUUUCUAGGUCAACCUGUUUUUCAGAUGUUAACAGUGGAUUUGGACCAAGAAAAUACUCCAAAUUUUCAAGUCCUUUACUUCUUUGUUUCUCAAACACUGUGGCUGAGAGAAAGUGGCUUCCAGACUCACCGUUUAGUGGGGAAAUACGCCUGUCAGGAUGCUUGGAUUAUGAGGUUAUGUGCCCUUUAUUAUUUCAACAAAAUGAAAUGGGUUCUCUCUCUCUCUGAGCUCCAAACUAAGCGUUCAUGUUUGCGGCGAGACAGCCUCUGUGGCCGGAUUGGCCACUGAAAGUGCUCAAGUGGGACAAUUCUGUAUUAAUCUUUCCCUUUCGUGUGCUCGAAGGGCCUGACUUUCCUUUUCCUGUCCGCAGAGACGGCUCCUCGGUUCCCACUGCUCGUGGGGCGCGGGACUCUGGAGAGCCACGGUCCUGCAUGGCCACGGUUCACAUGCACCUGCCCAACCACCUGUCCGCCUUCACCAGGACAGGGGAAGACACCUGCGUGGCCUCAGACUCCACGUCCCCAGGCAGAUGGCCUCCACGCCCCAGGCUCGGUUCUGCGGAGGGAAUUCGCUGUGUCACCCAGGACACGUGCGAGCCUCCAAAGUAACGUCAACCCUGUGGGCAGAGAAUGAGUUAAUCACAGUCACGAGAGCUGACCAUCUCUGCUUCUUGGUGCCAGAAACUGCUCAGAGCGGUUACACGUGUCCUUUGGUUUUGAAUAGCUGAGCUGCCGCGAGGACACAGGCCCCGUGACGGUAGAGGAGCCCUGCUCCGUCCGUGUCCGGGUUUCUCUGUCUCCACACUGCUGGCACUUGGGGAGGGAGGAAGCGUGUGGGGUGGGGUGGGGGAGGCUGCCCAGGGAGCUGUAGGAUGAUGACAGCACCCCUGACCUCUACCCACCAGAUGUCAGGGUGCCCCCAGCUGUGACAGCAAACAGGUCUGCAGACCGUGCAGACUCAGCCCCAGGGGAGAAGCCUGAGCUUCAUAGGGUGUUCAGGGCUCUGGAACAGGAAAGAGGAGCCGGCCGGCUCUGGCCAGGCCUUUCCCGGCUCACCUUUCGGGGUGGAUUUAUGUUUCGGGGUUCUACCCAGGGUUUCACAGGCUGCUGGGUCUCCAGGCUUAAAGAAGGUGCUGGCAUAUCCACUGUUCCCAUCAGUUUGGAAACAUCAAACCUCUUAAAACGUGAAAGGUUUGCUAAGAAGAUAAAACCACCCAGGAUCUGCUUUCGAUUUCUUCAUUCACUUUCAUUCUUCCAGGUACACUUCUAAAAGGAAAAUGCCCAAGUAUUUCUUCCUCUCAAGGAGGCUUUUCCCGUUGACCUGGUUAAAUCCCCAAAGGGAUCCCCCAACACAGACACACUCAGUCCUUGGCCCCCUGGGGAUGGGAUUGUUGCUGCCUUGUUCCCAGCACCUCAACCAGAAUCUAAUACAUAGUCGCCUUUGUUGAAUAAGUAAAUGCUUCAAACAAUUAUUUUUUUAAAGUGUCAUUUAAAAAGAUUAAUUGUAUAGAUCAAAGUUGACGUGUUUUCAAUGAAAGCAUCUCUCUGAACAGUAUAUAAUAACUGAAGCGUAUUUAUUAUGUUUGAGCCUUGUUUCAAAAUCCCUCUCUGGCUUUUGGUAAAAAGCUGUGCUCUCAAAAGUAGGGCUGUAAAAAAAAUACACGCUCUUAUUUUGAUGUGCUCAUCUAGAGAAAUUAUCUUGUCACCAGAAGUAUUGGAUAAGAAGCUAUUUUAAAAAUCUAUACUUGUUAGAAAAGUGAUUGCCUUAAUUGAAAUAACCAUAAGAGCUCUAUUUUAGGAGAGGAAUUAGAUUUUGUUAGGCAGCAUAAACUGUGUAUUAUUAUUUUAAAAAUUCUUUAAAAAACAGUGCCUCGCAUUGGAUUGAAGAAUACUUUUAAAGCUAUUCAGCGUUUCAAUUAUUCAAGCACCAAGUAGCAGGGGGACAGGACAAGAUGUUUGUUAUUGAGGCUUGUUCUGCUGUAACAGGCAGUUUCAGAUCCUUAGCGGUCAAGUUCAAUCACAGAAGACAUGUCCAGGUUGUUACGCCAAAGACCUACAUUUGCUCUCUCCCUUUUCUUUUCUUUUGCAAUUGCGCUUUUCUCUGCAACAUGGAAAUAACGACUGCCUCUCUCAGUGUACCAUUCAGAUUUCAGAAGGCUGAGCCACCCAGAGCGGGUCACGUUUCCGGGUCCGAGACAGUGAUUCGCCACUUUCGACGUCGUGGGGAGUGAAAUUCGACACAUCCAGUGGGAACGACUGAUCCGGAGACCAAGGAAGGAUCUGAAAGGUCACAGGGUAAAGCCAUAGUGGGAUCCACACCAGCCAGGUGCUGUGGGCAUUGGGGCCCUUCCUGGAGGGUUCCUGGCGGUGAAAUAGGAGCCGGGGGCGGCGAUGGUUGGUGUGUUCUGAGCAGGUCACAUGCUGUGUCACGAACCCCCAUGGCCCAUGAGGAAAGCCGGGCUGACUUGUGACUUCUGCUGCGGACCCUCGGCCCUGCCCCUGCGGCUCCCCCCCCCGCCAGAUCAUACAUGUCAGUAUUAAAGAGUCUUUUUGAUGUGACUUUCAAUGUGUCAACAUUAAAAUUUUUUUCUUAGACAAAAUGUAAUAGAUUCACAUAGUCCUUAACAUGUUCUUCUCUGAUGUGAUAAAAAUAUUUAAAGUUUUCUCCCACCCUAUGAGUUCAUUGUUUUCCUUCCUGGUUUGAAAGAAAUUAGAAUAUUUUCAUGGAGCUGUAAAAAUAUUGUGGGGCCCUGGCACUCUGCCUGCUAUGCCUAGUGGAGAGGGGGCCCGGCAGUGAGGUGUUGUUAUCUCAUUUACUGACGAGGAAACCAAAGCCCAGGGAGGCUGGGUCAUUUUCACAGAGUCACACAGCUGGAGUAGGGGGUCUGACUAGGGGGGUCUGACGGCCGUGCCUUUAGUUUUCAUUCUUCUCUGUAGACCCUGGAAUGAUGCGUCAGCUGGGGAUCCAGUUUAAAGGCGGACUUGGCUUGGGAGGCUUGGGGUGGGGCCCGAGCUUCUGCCUAUCAGUGUAACGAGCUCCCAGAUGACGUCGCUGGACCACAGCCACACUGAAGAGCGAGGCGAGGCCCGGGGACCCUCUAAACCAGAUGCCUGGGGCUGAAUUUCCCAACUACUCUUAGGCUUUCAACCCUUUUAAAUCACUGACCACUUUGUGCCUUGAAUGACUAUGACCAUUAAUGUCUGUAUUUCCCUAAGCUC